rnacentral:rRNA from 1 species
CCUACGGGAGGCAGCAGUGGGGAAUAUUGCACAAUGGGGGAAACCCUGAUGCAGCAACGCCGCGUGGGUGAAGAAGCGCCUCGGCGCGUAAAGCCCUGUCAGCAGGGAAGAAAAUGACGGUACCUGAAGAAGAAGCCCCGGCUAACUACGUGCCAGCAGCCGCGGUAAUACGGAGGGGGCAAGCGUUAUCCGGAUUUACUGGGUGUAAAGGGGGCGCAGGCGGGGAUGCAAGUCAGGUGUGAAAGCCCGGGGCCUAACCCCGGGACUGCAGUUGAAACUGUGUGGCUAGAGUGUGGGAGGGGUAGGCGGAAUUCCUGGUGUAGCGGUGAAAUGCGUAGAGAUCAGGAGGAACA